GGUUAAAAUUGUCUUU
rnacentral:sRNA from 1 species